CUUCCUCCCAGUCCCUUCUUAAAUAAAAUGAGGGCAGUGGAAGGAAGGCUGAUAUCAAAAUAUUUUGAUCAAAAAAGAUGACAAACAUGUAAAGACCAGUUGUAGCAGACCGUUUUCUGAAAGCAACUUGGAAAAACAUUCAUUACAUCAUAAAUGUGCACAAUUUGCAGACUGGUACACAUUUAUUUCACUUUCAGAAUAGGAUUGUAAAAAAAAGGUGGAAGCUUUUUAAUAAAGAAAUUGCAUUUAUAAUGA